rnacentral:misc_RNA from 1 species
UUUCCGUAGGUGAACCUGCGGAAGGAUCAUUAUCGAGCUUCGACAAAAAGACUCUCAUAAGUCACCUAGAGAGCCGUCACGGGGUUGCCCCACGCCAGGCCCGAUCGGUCGUUUCACGACGCCGAUCGGUGUUCAGGUAGGGGACGGUCGUCGGCCAUAACCGCCGUACACGACUGCCCUUUUCCCCGAUGGGAUUCAGUGACGCGAGUGAGAGAGGCACACCGGUACCGCUCCGAAUCGAGACGGUGCCGGGGACUUGCGUCCUCGUCUCGCUUACAAUUGCGACGACGUGUCAGCCGUUAGCGGCUGGUCCUGAGGCUAGAGUAACGGUUGUCGGUCCGUCGACCGUAUUGAUGGCCAGGAGGAAGUUCCCCGAAACCGCCGCGUUCGCGCGGUCGGCGACGGGUUUCAAAGCAGACUUAAUGAGCGCCGGCUAGGGCGCCGCCAACGACCCCCAACGAGGUUACCGAAUCGACCACCACUGACUACGGUCAGAAAAAUUACUACUCUAAGCGGUGGAUCACUCGGCUCGU